rnacentral:rRNA from 1 species
AGCGAACGCUGGCGGCAUGCCUAACACAUGCAAGUCUGACGGGCGGGGCUUUCGGGCCUUGUCAGUGGCGGACGGGUGAGGAGCGCGUAGGAACGUAUCCAAGGGUGGGGACAACCGCGGGAAACUGCGGCUAAUACCGCAUGGGGCCGUCUAGGGAGACCUGAAAGGGGAGACCGUGGGGCCAAAGGCUGGGGCAACCUAAUCGCCGAUGGAGCGGCCUGCGUCCGAUUAGCUAGUU